rnacentral:piRNA from 1 species
UGUGGAGCAUCCCUGCAGGGGACUGCAGCC